ACAAUGUUAAGAUAAAAAGUCUUCUUCUCUUCUAAAGAAGCUGUUGGUGUUCCAACAUUGUA
rnacentral:tRNA from 1 species